UGAAGUAGAUCGAAGAAAACAGAUCUUGUCUUCCUCUACUGGCAGCGAAGUAGAUCAAAUAUAACAGAUCUUGUCUUCAUGUAUUGACAUGAAAUAGAUCGAAGAUAGCAGAUCAUGUCUUCAUGUAUUGGCUUGGUGUAGAUCGAAGAAUGGCAGAUCUUGUCUUCAUGUAUUGACACGAAGUAGAUCGAAGAUAGCAAAUCUUGUCUUCCCAUAUUGGUGGUGAAGUAGAUCGAAGAUAAUG
rnacentral:lncRNA from 1 species